rnacentral:rRNA from 1 species
AUUGAACGCUGGCGGCAUGCCUUACACAUGCAAGUCGAACGGCAGCACGGGGGCAACCCUGGUGGCGAGUGGCGAACGGGUGAGUAAUACAUCGGAACGUGUCCUGUAGUGGGGGAUAGCCCGGCGAAAGCCGGAUUAAUACCGCAUACGCUCUACGGAGGAAAGGGGGGGAUCUUAGGACCUCCCGCUACAGGGGCGGCCGAUGGCAGAUUAGCUAGUUGGUGGGGUAAAGGCCUACCAAGGCGACGAUCUGUAGCUGGUCUGAGAGGACGACCAGCCACACUGGAACUGAGACACGGCCCAGACUCCUACGGGAGGCAGCAGUGGGGAAUUUUGGACAAUGGGGGCAACCCUGAUCCAGCAAUGCCGCGUGUGUGAAGAAGGCCUUCGGGUUGUAAAGCACUUUUGUCCGGAAAGAAAACGCCGUGGUUAAUACCCGUGGCGGAUGACGGUACCGGAAGAAUAAGCACCGGCUAACUACGUG